ACAAAUAUAUACCCGCCAACUUGUGCAGGAUUGCAAACAUGUUGAAAUUCAGCUAUAUAGUAAGAAAAUAGAUAUAAGGACAUUAACAUGUAAAGCAGGUGAUAUGUAACUGUUGAAAUUUGGGGCCUGACUCAUCCUUAUAGUAAGAAAAUAGAUAUAAGGACAUUAACAUGUAAAGCAGGUGAUAUGUAACCGUUGAAAUUUGGGGCCUAACUCAUCCUUACAAAACCGACUUGUAAGGUGAGGAGUGCCUCCUCUUUAUAAACUCUUCUCAAGAGUACUAUCUAUCCGAUGUGGGGCUAAAUCCACCCCCUCAAAGCCAACACAAUGAAGGUGUUGGAGGCUGCAAUGAAAGCUAACCCAAGGUCGCAAUUUAGGCGACUAGGGGCGGACAGCAAUUAAGGCGGAAUUUCCAACACACCCCCUCAUGCUUCAGCCCGGCCCAAUGGGCCUGAAGCGUGGACGAUGCGGGAAGCCCAACGAUAGAUCUAGGAUAGGCUCUGAUACCAUGUUGAAAUUUGGGGCCUAACUCAUCCUUACAAAACCGGCUUGUAAGGUGAGGAGUGCCUCCUCUUUAUAAACUCUUCUCAAGAGUAAAAUAUAUCUGAUGUGGGACUAAAUCCACCCCCUCAAAGCCAACACAAUGAAGGUGUUGGAGGCUGCAAUGAAGGCUAACCCAAGGUCGCAAUUUAGGCGACUAGGGGCGGACCGCAGUUAAGGCGGAAUUUCCAACAGUAACAAAUUAGGAGGUUGCACCGCCCGUAAUGCACAGUGGGG
rnacentral:lncRNA from 1 species